UGAGAAUGACGCCGGAACAACAUGAGGGUGUUUACACCAGCGCGAAAGCGUGGCAGUCAUGCCGGGUAUUCUCCUUAUC
rnacentral:ncRNA from 1 species